CUUGACUUUGACUUGACCUAAUCCUACCUGGCCUGAUCCAAUCUUGAUCCGAUUGUAACUGAAUUAAUCCAUCCCAAUCCUAAGCCGAUUAACCCACCUUUAUCGUAACCUAACCAAUCCCCUCCUGACCUGACCUAACCAUCACCAUAACCUUGACCUGAUGCUCACCUGACUUGACCCACCUCAAUCCGAACCCACACCAAUCCUAACCCAUUUGACCUCUUUCCUGACCCU
rnacentral:lncRNA from 1 species